AAGCAAUAUGACUAAAAAGAAGUGGAAGAAUCUUGACGUAGGAAAAACUGUCUCAGUGUAGGAAGGACCUGGAGGCCAUGACCUCCCAGCUCUACAGGGCAGACCGAGUCCUGAGGACAGGAGGUCUCUGGAGAAGGAGAAAAACACCCUCAGGAACAAAGCCUCCAAGUAUGAGAAGGAGCUGAAGCUGCUUUGACAAGAGAACCGGCAGAACAUGCUCCUCUCGGUGGCCAUCUUCAUAGUCUUCACCGUGCUCCAUGCUCCCUGGACU
rnacentral:lncRNA from 1 species